rnacentral:rRNA from 1 species
UACGUAGGGGGCAAGCGUUGUCCGGAUUUAUUGGGCGUAAAGAGCGUGUAGGCGGCCUGAAAGGUCAGCUGUGAAAACUCGAGGCUCAACCUCGAGACGUCGGUUGAAACCAUCUGGCUAGAGUCCGGAAGAGGAGUGUGGAAUUCCCGGUGUAGCGGUGAAAUGCGCAGAUAUCGGGAAGAACACCCGUGGCGAAGGCGGCACUCUGGGACGGUACUGACGCUGAGACGCGAAAGCGUGGGGAGCAAACGGG